GAUGAACGCUGGCGGCGUGCCUAAUACAUGCAAGUCGAGCGAACAGACGAGGAGCUUGCUCCUCUGACGUUAGCGGCGGACGGGUGAGUAACACGUGGAUAACCUACCUAUAAGACUGGGAUAACUUCGGGAAACCGGAGCUAAUACCGGAUAAUAUAUUGAACCGCAUGGUUCAAUAGUGAAAGACGGUUUUGCUGUCACUUAUAGAUGGAUCCGCGCCGCAUUAGCUAGUUGGUAAGGUAACGGCUUACCAAGGCGACGAUGCGUAGCCGACCUGAGAGAGUGAUCGGCGACACGGGAGCGGAGACGCGGUCCAGGCUCCUGCGGGAGGCAGCAGUAGGGAAUGGUCCGCAGUGGGCGAAAGCCUGACGGAGCAACGCCACGUGAGUGAUGAAGGUCUUCGGAUCGUAAAGCUCUGUUAUUAGGGAAGAACAAAUGUGUAAGUAACUAUGCACGUCUUGGCGGUACCUAAUCAGAAAGCCACGGCUAACUACGUG
rnacentral:rRNA from 1 species